AUUGAACGCUGGCGGCAUGCUUUACACAUGCAAGUCGAACGGCAGCACGGGUGCUUGCACCUGGUGGCGAGUGGCGGACGGGUGAGUAAUGCAUCGGAACGUGUCCUGAAGUGGGGGAUAACGCAUCGAAAGAUGUGCUAAUACCGCAUAUUCUCUGAGGAGGAAAGUAGGGGAUCGAAAGACCUUAUGCUUUUGGAGCGGCCGAUGUCUGAUUAGCUAGUUGGUAGGGUAAUGGCUUACCAAGGCGACGAUCAGUAGUUGGUCUGAGAGGACGACCAGCCACACUGGGACUGAGACACGGCCCAGACUCCUACGGGAGGCAGCAGUGGGGAAUUUUGGACAAUGGGCGCAAGCCUGAUCCAGCAAUGCCGCGUGAGUGAAGAAGGCCUUCGGGUUGUAAACUACUGUCGGGAGGGACGGAAGGGGCGAACCCUGACGGUACCUCGCAAGAAGCACCGGCUAACUCUGUGCCAGCAGCCGCGGUAA
rnacentral:rRNA from 1 species